GUUUUGUUUUGUCCAUGUGUAAUCGUCACGAGACAUGGUCCUUCAUUCAUGUGAGUGAAGCAAGGCUUUCUUCGUCAUUUAAAAGCAGGACCGGCACUGAGAAUUUGGGAACCCUAGACCAUUUAAUAAAGAUUUAAAAAAUUUAGGGGUCUAAAUUUUUUUUUUAAAUUUGGGGGUCUAUUUACAUAUAAUUUUUUUCAAAAAGUUUGGGGCCUAAGACGAAUGUUUCAUUAGGCUUUACCCAUGACCGGCCCUGUUUGAAAGUAGAAGAAACUCCACAAUAUUAUAUAUUUUCUCUUCGGUCUUGGAUGAUCCCUCUGAUGUUAAAGAAAACAUUUGGCCCAUACAGAGCUUUUGUUUGGCUAGAUCAGACCAUAGCCUGCUUAAAGCAUUUGCCAUUUUGCUAUCAAUAUGAAAUGAGGUCUAUAUGUCUCUUAAUUUGAUAUUUUGAUCUAAGAUACUACUACAAAGGACCCUUGAAGCAGUCCCUACUCGCCAUGCUCUCUAAUCAUCAAAACAUGCACAUUCUUUUUAACCUGUGACAAAAGAAAAGUAGGACGACAUACAAAACUAUGUGCUAAACCAUCUAAGACCUUAUAAAAUAUAUUUUCAUAGAUUCGAGCAUACCGCCAAAAGUUGCAGACUGACAAUCAUACUUCAACGUAAUUAUUUCCUUCUUUCCAUGAUUUAAAGAUCACUAUUUAUUUCUGGAAGAAAAUAUUACUAUUUCUGGUAAGUCAUUUUUUAUUCACCUCCCUCUUUUUUUUUUUUGUUCUUGCGUUUUUCUGUAGUCUAAAUAUCAAGAUUAUUCUUUAGCAAAAAUGGAUCUCUGAAUAUAAAUAUUAAAACAUUUAGAAGGCAACAUUCAUAUAACAAUUUUACGCUCAGACUAUUUUAUUUACACAGAUAAAUCGUUUAAAUCCAACUUUGGCUCGUUUUCCACCUUUAUAUUGAACAUAUACUCCAAACUUGACUGUGGCUUUUAAUUAUGAAAGCAGAGGAGGAGGAUGAAAACUUACAGUUUUCAAAAGUUAUAUUCUAAAUUUGGUAUAGAAUUUGCCAUGAUGGGGCUGGUAGAAACUGAAGGUCUUUUAGCAAAAAAAAAAGAAAGUGAAGGUGGAAUAGUAAAUUGAAAGGGACACACAUAUAUAAUGUGAACAUUGAAAAGAAGUCGGGAAGAUUGAAAUAAUUUGAGAGAUGAAUAAGUGAAUCUUUGAAAUGUAUCUCUUUUGACUAUUAGGGCAAAAGAUAGUUAGGAGGAAAGUACCUAUAAUGAAAUGAUAUAUGUAAUUUUAAAAUAGAAAUAUGUUCUUAUUUUUCAUCAUAUACUUUAAACCGACCACCCUCCUAUCUAAACUUUCUUUAAUUCUUCUUAAUUCAUUAGCUGAUUAGAUUUAUAUAUUUGUGAAAUCAUUUCCAUCUAGAUGAAAAUAUUCGUGAAAGCAAAACUUCACUUUACACCAGACACAUCAUACGCUAAAAACUAGAUGACUUAACGAAAAAAAGCGCGAGGGACUACGUGAGUUUGAAGCUAACAAAACCAAAGAAAAACUUGUAUUCAUCUACUUUUUCCAGUGUUCUCAUUUUUUUUUAUCAUGACAGUUGGUGUGGAACUUUAUAAAACAGGAUUCAAAACAUGUAAUGAAUUCAACGGAAACCUAGUGACUGCAUCAAACUGAAACUAAUAAACGGAGUUGCCUAGAUAUUUUUGAAGAUUUAUCAAAUAAUGUGAAUACGUUCGGUUUUCAACUAGAAAAUAGUGAAAGUUGGAUAAGCUUAAGCUAUUUGAAGAUGACAAAACUAAAAAAGCGAAAGUUAAACGAUGAAAAAGUGUUGGCCGAAAUCUUGUUUCACUGUUUUUGCCUCUUGGAUGUCAU
rnacentral:lncRNA from 1 species